GAAUUGCUAGUAAUCGUAGGUCAGCAUACUACGGUGAAUACGUUCCCGGGCCUUGUACACACCGCCCGUCAAACCAUGAGAGUUGGCAACACCCGAAGUCGGUAGUCUAACCGCAAGGAGGACGCCGCCGAAGGUGGGGUUNAUGAUUAGGGUUAAGUCGUAACAAGGUAAC
rnacentral:rRNA from 1 species